rnacentral:rRNA from 1 species
CAAUAGCGUAUAUUAAAGUUGUUGCAGUUAAAAAGCUCGUAGUUGAAUGUUGGUGUCAAACGAGCGGUCAGCUUCGGCUGUACUGCUCUCUCGACUCCUUCCUUCUGUGGACUACGUCGCACUUUACUGUGUGGCGCUAGGACGCAGAUCGUUUACUGUGAAAAAAUUAGAGUGUUCAAAGCAGGCCGUACGCUUGAAUACAUUAGCAUGGAAUAAUGGAAUAGGACGUCGGGCCUAUUUUGUUGGUUCUAGGACCGUCGUAAUGAUUAAUAGGGACAGUUGGGGCCGUUUAUAUUCCGUAGUCAGAGGUGAAAUUCUUGGAUUUACGGAAGAUAAACUACUGCGAAAGCAUUCGGCAAGGAUGUUUUCGUUA